CAAUUCGAUGGCGGGCGUGGACACCUGGUUUUAUCGGCAUAUUAUACGUCAUGUCGUGCCUACUUUUUCAACAAACAAUGAGCUGCAACAGACAAUUGCCCCCAUUUGGGCCUCGUCUCUUUCGAGCAAAGGCUCUCUUUGGCCAAGCAAUGCGGUCAUGCUCAAAAGAAAUAUUGGCAGCUGCCAAAAUGAUUCCCUCUGAGAAACUUGGCAAGCUCCUGUUUUUCGCAUGCAGGCUCUACAACACGUGCAAAGACUCUAUACCAGAAAAAGAACCAGAACAGGUA